AACGAACGCUGGCGGCAUGCCUAACACAUGCAAGUCGAACGAGAUCUUCGGGUCUAGUGGCGCACGGGUGCGUAACGCGUGGGAAUCUGCCCUUUGGUUCGGAAUAACAGUUGGAAACGACUGCUAAUACCGGAUGAUGACGAAAGUCCAAAGAUUUAUCGCCAGAGGAUGAGCCCGCGUAGGAUUAGCUAGUUGGUGUGGUAAAGGCGCACCAAGGCGACGAUCCUUAGCUGGUCUGAGAGGAUGAUCAGCCACACUGGGACUGAGACACGGCCCAGACUCUACGGGAGGCAGCUGUGGGGAAUAUUGGACAAUGGGCGAAAGCCUGAUCCAGCAAUGCCGCGUGAGUGAUGAAGGCCUUAGGGUUGUAAGGCUCUUUUACCCGGGAUGAUAAUGACAGUACCGGGAGAAUAAGCUCCGGCUAACUCCGUGCCAGCCGCCGCCGUAA
rnacentral:rRNA from 1 species